rnacentral:rRNA from 1 species
AUUGAACGCUGGCGGCAGGCCUAACACAUGCAAGUCGAGCGAGCGGCGGACGGGUGAGUAAUGUAUGGGGACUGCCCGAUAGAGGGGGAUAACUACUGGAAACGGUGGCUAAUACCGCAUACUAUCGGAUAACCCAUAUGGGAUUAGCUAGUAGGUGGGGUAACGCCUCACCUAGGCGACGAUCUCUAGCUGGUCUGAGAGGAAGAUGAGCCAGACUUGGACUGAGAGACUGCGCAGACUCCUACGGUGGCAGCGGUGGGGAAUAUUGCACAAUGGGCGCAAUCCUGAUGCAGCCAUGCCGCGUGUAUGAAGAAGUCCUUAGGGUUGUAAAGUACUUUCAGCCUGGAGGCGUUACCCGUAGAAGAAGCACCGGCUAACUCCGUGCCAGCAGCCGCGGUAAUUC